rnacentral:rRNA from 1 species
UACGUACCCGUACGAACGUUAUUCGGAAUCACUGGGCUUAAAGAGUCCGUAGGCGGCCUUAAAGGUGAGGUGUGAAAUCCCACGGCUUAACCGUGGAACUGCGCUUCAAACCAUAAGGCUAGAGGGAGAUAGAGGAAAGCGGAACUGAUGGUGGAGCGGUGAAAUGCGUUGAUAUCAUCAGGAACACCGGUGGCGAAAGCGGCUUUCUGGGUCUCUUCUGACGCUGAGGGACGAAAGCUAGGGGAGCGAACGGGAUUAGAUACCCCGGUAGU